CUAGCUGCUGCUGCAGCUGGAGCCAGGUGCCAGGUGCCAGGUGCCAAGCGACGCCUCGACCACACGCGCCAGCUCGUCAGCGCGACCAACAAGCCCAGGAAGAAGGGUGAGCACAGCCACUGUAGGUACCGCACUAGCUGCUGCUGCAGCUGGAGCCAGGUGCCAGGUGCCAAGCGACGCCUCGACCACACGCGCCAGCUCGUCAGCGCGACCAACAAGCCCAGGAAGAAGGGUGAGCACAGCCACUGUAGCUACCGCACUAGCUGCUGCUGCAGCUGGAGCCAGGUGCCAGGUGCCAAGCGACGCCUCGACCACACGCGCCAGCUCGUCAGCGCGACCAACAAGCCCAGGAAGAAGGGU